GCCUUCUACCCCUUUAGUGUUCCAAGUUAUCCUCUGUUUAUCCUCCUCUCCUGUAUCUUUUUAUAUCUCUCUGCUUCCUUGUAUCUAUAUUUAAAUACAGUUCAGUCUCCCCUGUCUGAAAAUAAAGCAUAACUCAAAUAGCCAGUUCUUUCAACCACUCUUUCCUUAUGGCCCCCCAUCUAUUCCAUUUCUCCUCUUCAACUUCUUCAAAACAUUUUUGGGUAAUCACCAUCUCCACCUUAUUACUCUUCACUUUCCCUUACCUUAUUCACGCAGUUGGCACCCAUCAUCCACUGGUCCUGUUCUUCCCAAGAACCUUCCCACCACUGAGUGCUGUGAGUCCUUCCCAAUCCUCAUCUUCUGAUCUCUGUGCAGCAUCAGAUACUGGCAACCACACCAAUGCCAGCUUCCCCUGCCCUCCAUGUGAACAGACUCUCCCAGUUUUCCUGCUCCUCUCUGACUGGACUCUCCCUUUCCUCCUCCAACUUUGCUCCCUUUCCCUAUCUGUUUGACAUUGUGUCUCCCAGAGUUCGACCCUCAGCCUUCUGUGCAUCUCACUCAAUGUACAUCCCCUGUGGGAGCCCAUCCUCAGAAACCCAAUCCUUCUCCAGUCUCUGUAGCCAUCUGCUUCUGGGCAUGUGUACUUGAAUGCCCCACAAGCCCCCACUCAGGAAGACCAAAGCUUUCAAACAUGGAAGCUUCAUUACUUUGCUUGAAGCUCCUUAUGGUCCCCUAGUGGUUCUUAUGACAAAACUCUUCAUCAUAAUUUGGCUGUCAAGGUCCUUCACCAUGGCUCUGAACCUAACUCUUUCGGUUCAUUUCUGGCCACAUUUCUGGCUUUGCAUUAAGCUCCCAACUGAGCUAAACUCUUGAACUGUCCAUUGGAUCCCCCAAUCCUAUGUCUUUGCAGGUUCCUCUAGAGCAUGUCUUGUUCCUUGGCUGUCUAAGUUGCCCUUCUCUUGUGCUGUCUACAGGUCUCUGCUAAACUCUCUUGAUGGUAUACAUAGAGUGUAUUAUAUUGCCCUCAACCAGUGGACCAUGAUCUGUGGAGAUAGCACUAAGGGGACAUAUUAUCACAUCUCCUGGGCCUGUCUUGUGCUUUCCUUGGCCAUAAUAGGAAAUAUUUCAGUAGCCCAAUUUGAAAAUAUUGAAUUAGAAAUAUCAGCAUAAAAAUAUCACUGGUGUGCCUUCUCUCUUAGAUGUCAAACACCCUCUCCAAAGCCAUGAAAAUGUCUUUUCAGAGUGCCCGUAAGAAUCCACCAUCUCAUUUCAUAGAGAGAAGAGUACUCAUGUACAAUCAUUUGUCCUUGGUCAUUGUGACAUAUUUUUGCAAAACUUCAUCAUGCAGUAUUUUAAUGAUAAUAAAGUUCAAUUGUAGUGCAAUUUAAUAUUCUGGCUUUUUUCUAAAGCAAAAUAAAUUUACUUUUCAGGUUAGUUAUGAAACUUCCAUUCUGUUGCUGCUCUUAUAUUCUCAAUGUUACCUUUCUAAAAUUUAUUUGUUUUCCAGAACAUUUAAACUCACUUGGGUUACCCGUCUAUGUGACCCACAGUGCAAAAUUGUUGUCCAAAGUGUUUGUGAUUUUUUAAAGCCAGUAAAGAAGGAUGGGGGAUAGAGUUAACCUCAAUGACAUUGAC
rnacentral:lncRNA from 1 species